GCAAGCUCCUGAUCGAAGUCCCAGUAAACGGCGGCCGUAACUAUAACGGUCCUAAGGUAGCGAAAUUCCUUGUCGGGCAAGUUCCGACCUGCACGAAUGGCAUAACGAUGGCCACACUGUCUCCUCCUGAGACUCAGUGAAGUUGAAGUGUUUGUGAUGAUGCAAUCUCCCCGCGGCUAGACGGAAAGACCCCAUGAACCUUUACUGUAGCUUUGCAUUGGACUUUGAACCGAUCUGUGUAGGAUAGGCGGGAGCCUGUGAAACCACAACGCCAGUUGUGGCGGAGGCGUCCUUGAAAUACCGCCCUGAUUUGUUUGAGGUUCUAACCUGGGACAGUCAUCCUGUCCGGGGACCGUGCAUGGUAGGCAGUUUGACUGGGGCGGUCUCCUCCUAAAGGGUAACGGAGGAGUGCGAAGGUACGCUAGGUACGGUCGGAAAUCGUGCUGAUAGUGCAAUGGCAAAAGCGUGCUUGACUGCGAGACCCACAAGUCGAGCAGAUACGAAAGUAGGUCAUAGUGAUCCGGUGGCUCUGUAUGGAAGGGCCAUCGCUCAACGGAUAAAAGGUACUCUGGGGAUAACAGGCUGAUACCGCCCAAGAGUUCAUAUCGACGGCGGUGUUUGGCACCUCGAUGUCGGCUCAUCUCAUCCUGGGGCUGUAGCCGGUCCCAAGGGUAUGGCUGUUCGCCAUUUAAAGAGGUACGUGAGCUGGGUUUAAAACGUCGUGAGACAGUUUUGUCCCUAUCUGCCGUGGGCGCUGGAAGAUUGACGGGGGCUGCUCCUAGUACGAGAGGACCGGAGUGGACUCACCUCUGGUGUACCGGUUGUCACGCCAGUGGCAUCGCCGGGUAGCUAUGUGGGGAAGAGAUAACCGCUGAAAGCAUCUAAGCGGGAAACUUGCCUGAAGAUAAGUCUUCCUGGAGGCUAGACCUCCCUAAAGAGUCGUUCGAGACCAGGACGUUGAUAGGAUGGGUGUGUAAGUGCUGUGAGGCACUCAGCUAACCAUUACUAAUUGCUCGUGAAGCUUGAUCCU
rnacentral:rRNA from 1 species